ensembl:misc_RNA Vault Vault RNA
GGGCUGGCUUUAGCUCAGCGGUUACUUCAGCGGACCACGACUUUGCUGUGUAACCGUCCUUGAUGGUUCAAGACCCGCGGGCGCUCUCCAGUCCUUUU